rnacentral:rRNA from 1 species
GUUGUCCGGAAUUAUUGGGCGUAAAGCGCGCGCAGGCGGUCCUUUAAGUCUGAUGUGAAAUCCCACGGCUCAACCGUGGAAGGUCAUUGGAAACUGGGGGACUUGAGUACAGAAGAGGAAAGCGGAAUUCCAAGUGUAGCGGUGAAAUGCGUAGAGAUUUGGAGGAACACCAGUGGCGAAGGCGGCUUUCUGGUCUGUAACUGACGCUGAGGCGCGAAAGCGUGGGGAGCAAACAGGAUUAGAUACCCUGGUAGUCCACGCCGUAAACGAUGAGUGCUAAGUGUUAGGGGGUUUCCGCCCCUUAGUGCUGCAGCUAACGCAUUAAGCACUCCGCCUGGGGAGUACGGUCGCAAGACUGAAACUCAAAGGAAUUGACGG